rnacentral:rRNA from 1 species
UACGUAGGGCGCAAGCGUUGUCCGGAAUUAUUGGGCGUAAAGAGCUCGUAGGCGGUUUGUCGCGUCUGCUGUGAAAACUCGAGGCUCAACCUCGGGCUUGCAGUGGGUACGGGCAGACUAGAGUGCGGUAGGGGUGACUGGAAUUCCUGGUGUAGCGGUGGAAUGCGCAGAUAUCAGGAGGAACACCAACAGCGAAGGCAGAUCUCUGGGACGUUACUGACGCUGAGACGCGAAAGCGUGGGGAGCAAACAGG